rnacentral:rRNA from 1 species
AUGCUGGAGGUAUCAGAAGUGCGAAUGCUGACAUAAGUAACGAUAAAGCGGGUGAAAAGCCCGCUCGCCGGAAGACCAAGGGUUCCUGUCCAACGUUAAUCGGGGCAGGGUGAGUCGACCCCUAAGGCGAGGCCGAAAGGCGUAGUCGAUGGGAAACAGGUUAAUAUUCCUGUACUUGGUGUUACUGCGAAGGGGGGACGGAGAAGGCUAUGUUGGCCGGGCGACGGUUGUCCCGGUUUAAGCGUGUAGGCUGGUUUUCCAGGCAAAUCCGGAAAAUCAAGGCUGAGGCGUGAUGACGAGGCACUACGGUGCUGAAGCAACAAAUGCCCUGCUUCCAGGAAAAGCCUCUAAGCAUCAGGUAACAUCAAAUCGUACCCCAAACCGACACAGGUGGUCAGGUAGAGAAUACCAAGGCGCUUGAGAGAACUCGGGUGAAGGAACUAGGCAAAAUGGUGCCGUAACUUCGGGAGAAGGCACGCUGAUAUGUAGGUGAAGUCCCUCGCGGAUGGAGCUGAAAUCAGUCGAAGAUACCAGCUGGCUGCAACUGUUUAUUAAAAACACAGCACUGUGCAAACACGAAAGUGGACGUAUACGGUGUGACGCCUGCCCGGUGCCGGAAGGUUAAUUGAUGGGGUCAGCGCAAGCGAAGCUCUUGAUCGAAGCCCCGGUAAACGGCGGCCGUAACUAUAACGGUCCUAAGGUAGCGAAAUUCCUUGUCGGGUAAGUUCCGACCUGCACGAAUGGCGUAAUGAUGGCCAGGCUGUCUCCACCCGAGACUCAGUGAAAUUGAACUCGCUGUGAAGAUGCAGUGUACCCGCGGCAAGACGGAAAGACCCCGUGAACCUUUACUAUAGCUUGACACUGAACAUUGAGCCUUGAUGUGUAGGAUAGGUGGGAGGCUUAGAAGUGUGGACGCCAGUCUGCAUGGAGCCGACCUUGAAAUACCACCCUUUAAUGUUUGAUGUUCUAACGUGGACCCGUAAUCCGGGUUGCGGACAGUGUCUGGUGGGUAGUUUGACUGGGGCGGUCUCCUCCUAAAGAGUAACGGAGGAGCACGAAGGUUGGCUAAUCCUGGUCGGACAUCAGGAGGUUAGUGCAAUGGCAUAAGCCAGCUUGACUGCGAGCGUGACGGCGCGAGCAGGUGCGAAAGCAGGUCAUAGUGAUCCGGUGGUUCUGAAUGGAAGGGCCAUCGCUCAACGGAUAAAAGGUACUCCGGGGAUAACAGGCUGAUACCGCCCAAGAGUUCAUAUCGACGGCGGUGUUUGGCACCUCGAUGUCGGCUCAUCACAUCCUGGGGCUGAAGUAGGUCCCAAGGGUAUGGCUGUUCGCCAUUUAAAGUGGUACGCGAGCUGGGUUUAGAACGUCGUGAGACAGUUCGGUCCCUAUCUGCCGUGGGCGCUGGAGAACUGAGGGGGGCUGCUCCUAGUACGAGAGGACCGGAGUGGACGCAUCACUGGUGUUCGGGUUGUCAUGCCAAUGGCACUGCCCGGUAGCUAAAUGCGGAAGAGAUAAGUGCUGAAAGCAUCUAAGCACGAAACUUGCCCCGAGAUGAGUUCUCCCUGACCCUUUAAGGGUCCUGAAGGAACGUUGAAGACGACGACGUUGAUAGGCCGGGUGUGUAAGCGCAGCGAUGCGUUGAGCUAACCGGUACUAAUGAACCGUGAGGCUUAACCUU